UUUUUAAAAUCGCUGAGUUUCCGUUCGAAGAAGCGGAAAUCGGGGGAACCAAUCGCGCGUUCCCGUCGUCCGAUGUGAGAGUCGGAAGGCAGGGGAGGCGCCGGGGUGAAUCCUGCGAAACGGAUGCCAUGGAUCCGAUCGCGGGUAGAGCGACUCUCACCGCUCGAAUCCGUCAGCUAACCUCGUAAGCGUCGCCUGAGAGAGGAA
rnacentral:sRNA from 2 species